ACAGUUCUCUGAAUAUAACAGCCAGGCCUCUGCACUCACUGGUUGCUCCAGCUCGAAGACGAACCAUGCCGGGGCUGGGCAAGGCCCCGAUGCCUCAAAGAAAUGAUGUGUGAGCUGGUAAAAAUCUGAUCGAGGGGACAUGCAAUAGAGUUCGUGAAUGGAUGGACAGACAGUCCUGGCAAUGGCGCGGGCAGGGAAAGGGCAGGGGCUGCACCAGGAGACCUUCCAGAGAAGCAGCCGUUAGUAACUCAGUAAGAAGUCGAAAACUGAAAAGAAAUCUCCAAUGAACUUGAAAGUUCAGAGCCGUGCCUCACCAAACCAAAGCCUCCUUCCGUGAAGUGUUGGAAUGCGGAUGUAUGCAAUGACACGGCAAAGCCCUCCAGGGAGGGACAGGACAUGGGAAAAUUCUUAUCUCCAGUACAGUCACGUCACAGGCAGGACCCAACUCAUGAGGCUUGGACAAACUCCCAGAGCCAAGCUACCUGAAUGUGGCAGUUCAGAGACUACGAAAGCAAUGUGAUCAUAUCCUGUAAUUUAGUAGGACAAGGCACAGUCCCCGGUUUACGUAACAAGAAAUGAGCCUAAAUUGAGAGAAACCAGCAUCACGAGGAGAUUCCAAAUCUGUGAAGAAACAACUGGGUUGAAAAUGUACAUAAACGCUCAGGAGUGUGGUGUCUUCCAUCAGGGGUUGGCUCGCAGGCCACUUCGCUGGAAGAAACUAGAGAAAUGGACCUCAUCGCAACCAUAUCUUACAUUUGGGCAAGUGGGGCUUUCAGCUCUGACGAAGCACUCUCUCUCACGGCCUUCUUCAGAACCGACCUUAAGGUGUGAGAAUGUUAUGUGUGCAUUGUCAAAAUCCAUGUGAAUGCAGGGAUUUGCUGCAACUUUGUCUGAAUGGGCGGGCUGCGUUCUGAAUGCACUAACAUCACGAUCUGCUCAUGGAGGAAUGAACCAUGCGAUCUCAGCUUUUGUAUUUUUCUUCCCAAUUCGUAACUGUUUUUAAGUGAAGGGAAAGCAUGGACCAGAAGAAUUACCUGUGUGUUGCCUAAGACAGCAGAGGGUGGAAAGGAAAGACCAGCCCACACUAGGCACACACGCCCCCCAGAUGCACCACCAUCAUUCCCACCCCCAUUCUUAAUUCAGAUCCCCCAAACUGGCCAGCUACCUAACUCAUCAGGUAGAGCACCCGGGUGUAAUAAACAGGGAAACAGCUGCAAUUAUA